rnacentral:misc_RNA from 1 species
GAUGAAGAACGUAGCGAAAUGCGAUACGUAAUGUGAAUUACAGAAUUCAGUGAAUCAUCGAAUCUUUGAACGCAUAUUGCGCUCUCUGGUAUUCCGGAGAGCAUGCUUGUUUGAGUAUCAGUAAACACCUCAACUCCCUUUUCUUUUUUGAAAUUGGAGCUGGACUUGAGUGAUCCCAACGCUUUCUUCCAAGAAAGUGGCGGGUUGCUUGAAAUGCAGGUGCAGCUGAACUUUUCUCUGAGCUAUAAGCAUAUCUAUUUAGUCUGCCUAAAAAACAGAUUAUUACCUUUGCUGCAGCUAACAUAAAGGAGACUAGUUCUUGUGCUGACUGAUGCAGGAUUCACAGAGACAGCUUCGGCUGACUUUGUAAACUCGAUCUCAAAUCAAGUAAGACUACCCGCUGAACUUAAGCAUAUCAAUAAGCGGAGGA